AGCAUCAUUCGACUGCGUGAGAAUAUGGAUGUGGAGAUAAAUAAUAUCAUGGUUUGCCAUGCAGGUACAUUGAUCUAAAACCAUGCAUUACUUGACUUCCUGAGAAUGGAUAUGGUACAUUGAUCUUUUCCCCAUAGUUUUCCGUAUCUUGGAAUUUUUUUUUCCCUUGUGUUGAUAGAUUCAUUUUAAUAUUUCGCUAUGUGGCUAUCAUUGCAGUUGGUUCUGCAUGAUAUUAAGUUGAAUUCAACAUCAUGAGACUACAUGUUAGAUCUGCAUCUUGUUUUUGCUGCAUGGAGGAUGGAAAUUCUGCUCGAGAUUGUUCAGUUUUAGUGAAAGUGGUGAACUAAACUUGAUAAUGUAGACUGAGGAGAUCUAGUCAAUGUGGGAGGAUUAAAUUUAUAUGAUGAUCUGAACCAUUCUUUCGAUCUGGGACAAUCAUGAAUGGGUCAUAGAACAAAAUUAUAGUGAUUGUACAGUCUCAAUCAUUUGUUGAUUUCCAGCAAUUGGAGUCUUAUGGAAUGGAUCAGCUGUACCUCUGUUAUGUGGUACGCUCUGGAUCUUAAAUCAUUUUUAUUGUCUAUGGUUUUUAUGCUCUUUUCAAUUUCUUGAUCAUGUAACCUAAAACUAUUUGAGAGUUGUUUGUGUUUAGGAGUGUAAGAUCAUACAUCA